CUGACUGGGGUACAAGGAAGAACAGACCUAUGUGCAUUUUGUAGGAAGAAAAAUGUGAAUGGAAAAGGGAGAAAGGGAGAGAAACAGGGGGAAAAUCUGGAUAAUACAUUAAAGUAACCAUAAUUUUGGAGAUGCAUUCGUCUUACUGAAAUUGUAUUUCCUCAUGGCAGUGAUUCUUCUUCAGCCCUUUGACUUCAGAAGGAUGGCAUAGGAACCUCAAAAACACCACUACCUCCUUCAUUAGACCAAAAGGUAUGUCCUUUUGGAAAAGUAAUGGAGUCCAAUCAGCUUACUUCAUUGAUCUCCAAGGACUGUUGAAAAUUGUAAAACUUGCUAUGGGAUUCUCACACACCAGAAGCCACUAGAAAAAGAAUUUUGAUAUUCAGAACCUCAUGAAGAGGUUCCCCUCGUCUUUGGAUAGAGACCAAAG